UUUAGAUGAAGACUGUGUAGUAAGCAACACUGCUAAAAUCCUGACUGUCUUCAGGUCAGUACUUUCCAUUUGGCUGUGAGCUUGCACCUGAAGGCAAGCCUCUGACACUAGUGUGUGUGCAAACGCAGUCUCACCAGCCUUCCGCGCGGCUGUUUUUACAGCGGAGGUAACAGAAACCUGAGCUCCUCCUCGAGGACCUAACUGUCAUCAGGCAGAGGGUGGUCUCUCUGAUAUUUCAAAGCUGGGCAGAGAGCAGGGCUGGAAAGGGGGAAUGGUUGCAGCAGUUACCUAGGCAUGUAAAGGACUCUCUCCGCCACCACAAAGCCCACCCUGAAGAAGAGGUUGCUGGCGGGAAUGAACGGGAACACCAGGAACAACAAGCCCACGAGGACUUCCUUGUGCUCCAGCCUCUGCAACACACAAGGGGAAGGGCAGGCUCUGGAGCCCCUGCACCGGGCAGGAUACCAGGACCUCAGGUGCUGGGGAUGUGGAGAUGGGAGCGUUGAGGAGCCCUCAGUUUGGAAAUACCUGAAACGUGGCUCAUCCAUUCCACCACCUGCCUUUCAGGACCCACCUGUCUCCAGCAGACAGAUGAAACAUAUUUCAGAAUAUAUGUGUGGAACCCAAGUGAAUAGGCCAAGCAAAAAUGUGAAGCAUUUAAAGGGAGCAUUUGGAAAGUGGGAGUGA
rnacentral:lncRNA from 1 species